GGCGUGACCAGGAGGUCACCCCUGUGCGAUGCAUGACAAGGAAGAAGGAGAAGGAGACUGAUUUCACAUGAGGAUCACGAAAUUGGAGGGUUGAAGUCUCGAUUAUGUCUUUUUUUGCUUGAUUCUAAGGCUCUAGUGGCAUAACGUUUGGAUGGCAACGGGUCAAACGGGUGAUAAAGCAACAACAUUCCUACGGGCAAAGGUGAUAAGUCAUGAAAAUCAACGGGGUGACUUGAACCAGAAUCAUGAAAGAAGAAAACAUCUCACAAGUCAUUCACCAAUAAUUCGAUUCGGGUGGUAGGAAGGCGAAAGUGAUCAAGUUUUUGAAGCGGGUCAACGAUGUGAAGAUUUAGUGAUGCCUUGUUCACUAAUGGUAUGAUUCUCGCAUCUGAAGAUGGUAGGAAUUUGAUGAUCCAGCAGACGUGAUGGUAGAAGGGUCGGAAGUAUGAAGUAGGGCAUGCUCAUCAAGGAACUAAGCCAAGUGAUGAUACCGAAUAAAGGACAAAUGGCAAUGAAAGUUCAUCAGAGCGAGUAUCACCCAGGUGGAAAGAUGGAAGUCGUGUGUGAGUUGCAUAGGUGGUAUACAACGGGACUCAAACGAGCAUGGAUGAAUGCUCUACUUGAUCGUACACGUGGCAUAACGUUUGGAUGGCAACGGGUCAAACGGGUGAUAAAGCAACAACAUUCCUACGGGCAAAGGUGAUAAGUCAUGAAAAUCAACGGGGUGACUUGAACCAGAAUCAUGAAAGAAGAAAACAUCUCACAAGUCAUUCACCAAUAAUUCGAUUCGGGUGGUAGGAAGGCGAAAGUGAUCAAGUUUUUGAAGCGGGUCAACGAUGUGAAGAUUUAGUGAUGCCUUGUUCACUAAGUAAUGUGGGUUUUCUUAUUGGGUCAACUUGACUUAGUUAUUUGCAUUUUAGAGUUUAACUUUAAUGUUUAUUUUAGCCAAGUGCUAGUAUGUCAAUGUAGUAGUGGGUUAUAUUUGUUUUAUAAAAACCUUGGUUAAUAAGUAGGUAUUGUUUUCGUAA